AGAUGUGCGCCCCCUUGUGGUCGGUAUACAGGUGGUGCAUGGUUGUCGUCAGCUCGUGUCGUGAGAUGUUGGGUUAAGUCCCGCAACGAGCGCAACCCUCGUUCUGUGUUGCCAGCAUGCCUUUCGGAAUGAUGGGGACUCACAGGAGACUGCCGGGGUCAACUCGGAGGAAGAGGUGGGGACGACGUCAAAUCAUCAUGCCCCUUAUGUCUUGGGCUGCA
rnacentral:rRNA from 1 species